rnacentral:rRNA from 1 species
GGGGAAUAUUGCGCAAUGGGCGAAAGUCUGACGCAGCGACGCCGCGUGGGUGAUGAAGGCCUUCGGGUUGUAAAGCCCUGUGGGGAGGGACGAAUAAGUUGCAGCUAAUACCUGCAGCGAUGACGGUACCUCCUUAGCAAGCACCGGCUAACUCUGUGCCAGCAGCCGCGGUAACACGUAGGGGCCAAGCGUUGUCCGGAUUUAUUGGGCGUAAAGAGCUCGUAGGCGGUUCAGUCAGUCGGGUGUGAAAACUCUGGGCUCAACUCGGAGACGCCACCCGAUACUGCUGUGACUUGAGUCCGGUAGGGGAGCAGGGAAUUCCAGGUGUAGCGGUGAAAUGCGCAGAUAUCUGGAGGAACACCGGUGGCGAAGGCGCUGCUCUGGGCCGGUACUGACGCUGAGGAGCGAAAGCGUGGGGAGCGAA